GGAGCUGCGAUAGAGGGUGCAGCUAGCCUGAAGCAGUGCGAGAGCCAGCAACGCUGCCACGCAACCGACCACGAUGUAGAGCUUCGUUGCGCCCAGGAACAGGUCCGACGAGGAAGACGGAUCCUCCAGUAGAAUAUGACGUCGUCGGAGAAGCGUUUCAUCGUGUACGCGUCCAGGUCGACGUCGAUGCUCUUCACCGGUGAUCCUGCAAGCGGGCGGUAGUCGCAGCUACGGUUUCACCGUGAACUCGCAACGUCGCCUAAGAGAGAGAGAGAGAGAGAGAGAGAGAGAGCCUCCUGGGCUGUGCUCUUUUCCUUUCGCAGCCACCACGUGCGGACAAAUUCGUAAUGUCUUGCGGACGGCGUGGAGUGCCCCGCGUACUCGUUGAAUACGAACGACCGGCGGCGAUUACCGUCGAGGACGCCUGCGCUCGUCGCGACGAGAACGAGCCGCGUUUUCCCGUCCGUCUCCUCUCCGUCUCUUUUCCCGUCCCGUCUCGUUUCUCUCUCGUGUGCGUGAACAAUGGGGAAUUGAUUAUUGUUAUCAUGGUCCGAUUUUCGCUCGCCGCGCGCUAUCGAAACUGAUGACGCGGAUGACGAGAGGAAUAAUGAGGAGCGAAAUCACGAGGGCAAUGAAAGGAGCAACAAAUAUGGCCAAUUAUCGAGAAUUAUGAUGAGAAAACAUCAUCGGAGGUUUACGAUCUUCUAAGCUCUUGAUAGCGGCCGAUUGAUGACGCGUGAUCCGAGCGGCGUGCUAAUGCCUUCCGCGAAGGCCCGUAAACGCCUCUCAUUUCUCUCUCUCUCUCUCUCUCUCUCUCUCUCUCUCUCUCUCUCUCUCCUUGUCCCUUUCUCCCCUUCCUCGGAUUUUAAUAAAGAAUCGCCGUGCGUCGUUUACGAUCCUGUAAUUUUUCCAUGGCACGUCAUUUCCCGGCGAUCCUCGACGCCGCGCGCUCGCGCCGAUAACGCCUUCCGCGAGAGCGCUCGUAAAGCCCUCUUUGCCUCUCUUGCUCGUCCUCGGUCGAUCGGAGAAACUGUAAAAAUCGCUCUCGACAGAGUUACGUUGCGCCGGGCCAACAUUCAGCGCAUGGUCCUGUGAGGUUUCGAUAACGCGCGUGCGACUGUCUCGUUAAUCUUCAACGCUUCGCGCGCCGAUAAUGCUUUCUCCCAUAGACCCGUAAAGCUUUCUCCUUCGGCCGCGCGCGCGGGCUUCGCAGGAGUCUCUCGCGGCGGUUCAAUAAGAACUGGCGCGCGGAUUUGAAUCUAAAUUUCAUCGCAAUCCGGAGGGGCGAUCACGUGGAGUCUAAUUUUAACGCGCGC